UACGUAGGGUGCAAGGGUUGUCCGGAAUUAUUGGGCGUAAAGAGCUCGUAGGCGGCUUGUAACGUCGGCUGUGAAAACCCGGGGCUCAACCCCGGGCCUGCAGUCGAUACGGGCAAGCUAGAGUUCGGCAGGGGAGACUGGAAUUCCUGGUGUAGCGGUGAAAUGCGCAGAUAUCAGGAGGAACACCGGUGGCGAAGGCGGGUCUCUGGGCCGAUACUGACGCUGAGGAGCGAAAGCGUGGGGAGCGAACAGG
rnacentral:rRNA from 1 species